rnacentral:rRNA from 1 species
UACGUAGGUGGCAAGCGUUGUCCGGAUUUACUGGGCGUAAAGAGCGCGCAGGCGGUCGUUCAAGUCGCGUGUGAAAGCCCCCGGCUCAACUGGGGAGGGUCACGCGAUACUGAUCGACUCGAAGGCAGGAGAGGGUAGUGGAAUUCCCGGUGUAGUGGUGAAAUGCGUAGAUAUCGGGAGGAACACCAGUGGCGAAGGCGGGUCUCUGGGCCGAUACUGACGCUGAGGAGCGAAAGCGUGGGGAGCAAACAGG